rnacentral:rRNA from 1 species
UACGAACGCUGGCGGCGGGCUUAACACAUGCAAGUCGAACGGAAAGGCCCUGCUUUUGUGGGGUGCUCGAGUGGCGAACGGGUGAGUAACACGUGAGUAACCUGCCCUUGACUUUGGGAUAACUUCAGGAAACUGGGGCUAAUACCGGAUAGGAGCUCCUGCUGCAUGGUGGGGGUUGGAAAGUUUCGGCGGUUGGGGAUGGACUCGCGGCUUAUCAGCUUGUUGGUGGGGUAGUGGCUUACCAAGGCUUUGACGGGUAGCCGGCCUGAGAGGGUGACCGGCCACAUUGGGACUGAGAUACGGCCCAGACUCCUACGGGAGGCAGCAGUGGGGAAUAUUGCACAAUGGGCGGAAGCCUGAUGCAGCAACGCCGCGUGCGGGAUGACGGCCUUCGGGUUGUAAACCGCUUUCGCCUGUGACGAAGCGUGAGUGACGGUAAUGGGUAAAGAAGCACCGGCUAACUACGUG